AACGAACGCUGGCGGCAUGCCUAACACAUGCAAGUCGAACGAGACCUUCGGGUCUAGUGGCGCACGGGUGCGUAACGCGUGGGAACCUGCCCUUAGGUUCGGAAUAACUCCCCGAAAGGGGUGCUAAUACCGGAUAAUGUCUUCGGACCAAAGAUUUAUCGCCUUUGGAUGGGCCCGCGUUGGAUUAGCUAGUUGGUAGGGUAAAAGCCUACCAAGGCGACGAUCCAUAGCUGGUCUGAGAGGAUGAUCAGCCACACUGGGACUGAGACACGGCCCAGACUCCUACGGGAGGCAGCAGUGGGGAAUAUUGGACAAUGGGCGGAAGCCUGAUCCAGCAAUGCCGCGUGAGUGAUGAAGGCCUUAGGGUGGUAAAGCUCUUUUACCCGGGAUGAUAAUGACAGUACCGGGAGAAUAAGCUCCGGCUAACUCCGU
rnacentral:rRNA from 1 species